GAUGAACGCUGGCGGCGUGCCUAAUACAUGCAAGUCGAGCGAACGGACGAGAAGCUUGCUUCUCUGAUGUUAGCGGCGGAAGGGUGAGUAACACGUGGAUAACCUACCUAUAAGACUGGGAUAACUUCGGGAAACCGAAGCUAAUACCGGAUAAUAUUUUGAACCGCAUGGUUCAAAAGUGAAAGACGGUCUUGCUGUCACUUAUAGAUGGAUCCGCGCUGCAUUAGCUAGUUGGUAAGGUAACGGCUUACCAAGGCAACGAUGCAUAGCCGACCUGAGAGGGUGAUCGGCCACACUGGAACUGAGACACGGUCCAGACUCCUACGGGAGGCAGCAGUAGGGAAUCUUCCGCAAUGGGCGAAAGCCUGACGGAGCAACGCCGCGUGAGUGAUGAAGGUCUUCGGAUCGUAAAACUCUGUUAUUAGGGAAGAACAUAUGUGUAAGUAACUGUGCACAUCUUGACGGUACCUAAUCAGAAAGCCACGGCUAACUACGUG
rnacentral:rRNA from 1 species